rnacentral:misc_RNA from 1 species
AAAGUCGUAACAAGGUUUCCGUAGGUGAACCUGCGGAAGGAUCAUUACAAUCCAAAUACACAACCCCAUGUGAACCUGUGUUUGUAUGUCUUUGGGGGGCUCAAGGAUUCCCUUUUGCCCCCCAUGUUUAUUGAACCACUCUGGUCUUACGUUGGAAUACCUUUUAUUAGUAAUAAUAAAGGACAACUUUUAACGGUGGAUCUCUUGGCUCGU